AAGUCGUAACAAGGUCUCCGUUGGUGAACCAGCGGAGGGAUCAUUACAGAGUGUAAAAACUCCCAAACCCCUGUGAACGUACCUGUCGUUGCUUCGGCGGAUCGCCCCGGGCGCUGCAAGGUGCCCCGGAGUCAGGCGCCCGCCGGAGGACCGCAAACUCUUGUUUUAUACCGGAAUUCUCUGAGUGGCAUGUCUCAUGCAAAACAAAAUGAAUCAAAACUUUCAACAACGGAUCUCUUGGUUCUG
rnacentral:misc_RNA from 1 species